UACGUAGGGGGCGAGCGUUGUCCGGAUUUAUUGGGCGUAAAGAGCGUGUAGGCGGUUCGGUAAGUCUGUCGUGAAAUCCUGAGGCUCAACCUUGGACGUGCGAUGGAUACUGCCGGGCUAGAGGAUGGUAGAGGAGAGUGGAAUUCCCGGUGUAGCGGUGAAAUGCGCAGAUAUCGGGAAGAACACCCGUGGCUAAGGCGGCUCUCUAGUACGGUACUGACGCUGAGACGCGAAAGCGUGGGGAGCGAACAGG
rnacentral:rRNA from 1 species